CAUCUCACAAACAAGCACAUACCACUCUCAGCAGUUGCCCGAAACUUUCGCUUUUUUCCCGUGGUUUUUCACUUUUCAAAGAAACUCAGAGUCACAAGGAAAGCGAAACACCUGUGCGGAUGGGCGGCACAUGGAGACAGGAAAACACUGCGGCAGGGGAAUAAGCGGAUUCUUUGGGCGAGAAAGCUGGUGGAGAGGAAAGGCACCCGUGCGGCGCCAGUGCCUGUGGGUGCAUAUUGGUCCGCACCGUGGGAGAGCCCCUAUGCGGGGGCGUGCACAUCACUGACUGCACAGGGAUCACUCUGCCAGAGGAAUGGUGUGUUUUCCUCUUUCCAGAGUUUAACCCAGGCUUUCACGCGGUUCCAGCUUCAACAAGCAGAGCGCCCUGUGACACUCAGCAGACAAACACUUUGGUAUUCUGAGACAGCUCAGUUUGUAGAGGACUCACUAGAGAGAAUAUACAGGAAAGAUACCAAAAUAACAUUCAGGGGACAUUAA
rnacentral:lncRNA from 1 species